AGAACGAACGCUGGCGGCAUACCUAACACAUGCAAGUCGAACGCUCACCGGGCUUCGGUUCGGUGGGAGUGGCGCACGGGUGAGUAGCGCGUGGGAACCUGCCCUGUUGUGGGGGAUAACCGAGGGAAACUUCGGCUAAUACCGCAUGCGCCCGGGGAAACCCGGGGAAAGAUUUAUCGCAGCAGGAGGGGCCCGCGUCGGAUUAGGUAGUUGGUAGGGUAACGGCCUACCAAGCCUUUGAUCCGUAGCUGGUCUGAGAGGAUGAUCAGCCACACUGGGACUGAGACACGGCCCAGACUCCUACGGGAGGCAGCAGUGGGGAAUAUUGGACAAUGGGCGCAAGCCUGAUCCAGCAAUGCCGCGUGAGUGAUGAAGGCCUUAGGGUUGUAAAGCUCUUUCGCCCGCGACGAUGAUGACGGUAGCGGGAGAAGAGCCCGGCUAACUUCGUGCCAGCAGCCGC
rnacentral:rRNA from 1 species